rnacentral:rRNA from 1 species
UACGAAGGGUGCGAGCGUUAUUCGGAUUGAUUGGGCGUAAAGGGUGCGCAGGCGGACUGUUAAGUCAACUGUUAAAUUUCCCGGCUUAACCGGGAGUCAGCGGUAGAUACUGGCGUUCUUGAGGGUGGAAGAGAGGAGUGGAAUUCUCGGAGUAGCGGUAAAAUGCAUAGAUCUCGAGAGGAACACCGAUGGCGAAGGCAGCUUCUUGGUCCAUUUCUGACGCUCAUGCACGAAAGCGUGGGGAGCAAACAGG